GACGAACGCUGGCGGCGUGCUUAACACAUGCAAGUCGAACGGAAAGGCCCUUCGGGGUACUCGAGUGGCGAACGGGUGAGUAACACGUGGGUGAUCUGCCCUGCACUUUGGGAUAAGCCUGGGAAACUGGGUCUAAUACCGAAUAGGACCACGCGCUUCAUGGUGUGUGGUGGAAAGCUUUUGCGGUGUGGGAUGGGCCCGCGGCCUACCAGCUUGUUGGUGGGGUAAUGGCCUACCAAGGCGACGACGGGUAGCCGGCCUGAGAGGGUGACCGGCCACACUGGGACUGAGAUACGGCCCAGACUCCUACGGGAGGCAGCAGUGGGGAAUAUUGCACAAUGGGCGCAAGCCUGAUGCAGCGACGCCGCGUGAGGGAUGACGGCCUUCGGGUUGUAAACCUCUUUCAAUAGGGACGAAGCGCAAGUGACGGUACCUAUAGAAGAAGCACCGGCCAACUACGUG
rnacentral:rRNA from 1 species